AACGAACGCUGGCGGCGUGCCUAACACAUGCAAGUCGAACGGAAUCAAGGGGCUUGCUCCUUGAUUUAGUGGCGCACGGGUGAGUAACGCGUGGAUAAUCUACCCGAUGAUCUGGGAUAACAUUUCGAAAGAGGUGCUAAUACCGGAUAAGCCCACGGGGUCCUCGGACUCUGCGGGAAAAGGGGGGGACCUUCGGGCCUUCUGUCAUCGGAUGAGUCCGCGUACCAUUAGCUAGUUGGCGGUGUAAGAGACCACCAAGGCGACGAUGGUUAGCUGGUCUGAGAGGAUGAUCAGCCACACUGGAACUGAGACACGGUCCAGACUCCUACGGGAGGCAGCAGUGGGGAAUUUUGCGCAAUGGGCGAAAGCCCGACGCAGCAACGCCGCGUGAGUGAUGAAGGCCUUCGGGUCGUAAAGCUCUGUCAGAGGGAAAGAAAUGUACUGUGGCUAAUAUCCACGGUACUUGACGGUACCCUCAAAGGAAGCACCGGCUAACUCCGUGCCAGCCGCCGCCGUAACAC
rnacentral:rRNA from 1 species